rnacentral:rRNA from 1 species
CCUACGGGAGGCAGCAGUGAGGAAUAUUGGUCAAUGGACGAGAGUCUGAACCAGCCAAGUAGCGUGAAGGAUGACUGCCCUAUGGGUUGUAAACUUCUUUUAUAAAGGAAUAAAACGAGGCACGUGUGCCUUGUUGCAUGUACUUUAUGAAUAAGAAUCGGCUAACUCCGUGCCAGCAGCCGCGGUAAUACGGAGGAUCCGAGCGUUAUCCGGAUUUAUUGGGUUUAAAGGGAGCGUAGAUGGGGUGUUAAGUCAGUGGUGAAGGUUUGCGGCUUAACCGUAAAAUUGCAAUUGAGACUGGCAGUCUUGAGUACAGUUGAGGUAGGCGGAAUUCGUGGUGUAGCGGUGAAAUGCUUAGAUAUCACGAAGAACCCCGAUUGCGAAGGCAGCUUACUAAACUGUGACUGACAUUGAUGCUCGAAAGUGUGGGUAUCAAACAGGAUUAGAUACCCGGGUAGUC